rnacentral:lncRNA from 10 species
CAAUAAAUAUGCACUAUCUUUCUCUCUCCUACUGUUUGUCUGUCUCUUAUUAAUAUAGAGAAUAUAAAUUGUGCUGUACCAAUCAAUAACAUCCAAUCUACCAUUACCAUGCCAAGACCUGCACUCAUUACUUGAGACUUGCUUUCUCAAGUAAUGAAAGUUCUCCAAACUCAGAAACAAAGUAGAAAAUGCCUGAAAUAUUCUGGCUUGAUUUUUCAAAAAACUGAAACUUUUUUACUCAAUGUUAAUAUUCAUCUCUUCCUUCCAAUAGAAAUUUUCUGCUGAUUUUCUUGAUUGUGAUAUACCUCAGCACUUGACUUGCUGAAUAAGACAACUGUGGCAAUUAUGACUACUGACAAGAAUAUUGUGUAAAUGAUCAAGAAUAACUUGUUAUAUAUCUAGACCAGAUAUAUAUGAAAGAGAAAAUUGACAAAGGUGGAGCAAGUAUCCCAGCUAUUAAUGUGAAAAAAAAAAAGGAAAAAUGAGUAGCAGAAAUCAAAGUUUAAAAGGAGGACUAACUUUAAGCAAAGUGAAGCAGUUUUGUUAUGAUGGUGAGAUGAACCUCAACAGAGGGAAAGCAGAAAAAAAAAAAUGGUGGAAAAAUGAGAAGGCAAUGCAGCAGGCCCAAAACAACAGACUAGAAGCUAAAGAAACUGACACCCCAGAAAUGCCAAAGGACAAAGGAAAAAUCUUUUUGGAAAAACAGAAAAUCUUCAGGCAAUGACUGCUCUACUCUAGCCAACACACAGCAAAUCUGUGGCCUCACCUCUACUCAAUAUCAGCAAAGGUUGGAUGAGGAAGCCUAAAUUUCCAUCCUUGCAAAGAUGUUACAAGACACGACAACAUUCCCGCUGGGGUAAUGUCAGAGAAGAUCAAAUAGGUAGCCAGUACUUUCAUCCCACCAUCUGGUAGGGAGUGUCCACCCACUACCACUCUGUCAGUGGAGACCAUAUGAAGAACCUGGACUUACACUCAUACCUGGCAGUAAACAGGAGUCCCUCUUCCUCACUACUGGGUUGGUGUCAAGUAGACCUAGUGGAAAGUCAGGACUUUCACCAUCACCCAGUAGUAACCAGGUGUCCCCACAGCAGUGUCAUGGAAGACGGCGCAGGGAACCAGAACUCCCAAACCCACAAGGCAGGAAUGAGGGGCUCACCCUCGGUCACCAGUGGAGGCAGAGUUGGAAACCCUAAACUUCACCCCUACUUGGCAGCAAGGAGGUGGUGCCCCUGCCCCACCCUCUGUCAGAGAAAUGUCAAAGAAAGCUAGGUAAAACAGAAGGCUUAAAGAAGAUCCAUAGUCUCAGAAUGUAAUACAAAAAUGUUCAAGUUUCAAAUGAAAAUUACUCAUUACACUGAGAAUCAGGGUCAUCUUAAACUGAAUGCAAAAAUAAAAUCAAUAGAUGCCAACACCAGAUAACAGAGAUGUUAGAAUUAGUGUGAUUCUAAAGCAGUGUAAUAAAAAUGUUUCAAAGGGCGAUUACAAAUAUGCUUAAAAAAAAUAAAAACAAACUUAAAACUAGAAAGCCUAAACAAAAAUAUGAUGUCUCAGUGAAGAAAUAGAUGGUAUAAAUUUAAAAAAUGGUAAUUUUAGAAUUGAAUAUUAUAGUAAUGGAAUACGAAGCUCAAUAAAUGAUGCAUAUGGACCAAACAACAGAGUUGCAAAAUAUGAGAAGCAAAAAUUGAUACAAUCAGAAGGAGAAAUAAACAAAUCCACAAUUAUAGUUGGAGGCUUCGACACCUCUUUCUUAACAAUUGACAGAACUAGACAGAAAAUCAACAAGGAUAUAGAAGAACUCAACAACACUAUCAACCAACAGGAUUCAAUCAACAUUUAUAAGACACUCUAACUAACAACAGCAGAAUACAUCUUCUUUCAAGUUCUCACAAAAAAAUAUGAAAAUAGACUACAUCCCUGGGCAUGAGAUAAACCUUAAUAAAAUUUUAAAAAAUUGACAUCAUAGAGUAUGUUCCUGAUUACAAUUAAACCAGGACAAAAAAAGAAAGAUAAUAGGAAAAUCUCCAAAUAUUUAAAACUAAAGAACACACUUCUAAAUAAUCCAUGAGUAAAAUAAUAGGCCUCAAGAAAUAUUAUAAAAAAGGCAUUAACUGAAGAAAAACAAUAAUGGAACAAAUCAAAAAUUUUGGAACACAACCGAAGCCAUGCUGAAAGGAAAAUUUGUGGCACCAAAAUCCCUACGCUGGAAAUAAGGAAAAGUCUUAAAUCAGUCACAUAACUUUCUGCCCACAGAAUCUAUAAAAAAGAAGAACAAAAUAUACUCAAAGCUAGCAAAGGAAGGACAUAAUAAUUAUCAGAGCAGUAAUCAAUGCAAUUGAAAACAGGAAAGCAAAAGAAAGAAUAAAUUAAACAAAAAGGUGGCAAGGAUGUAGAGCAACAGUAAUUCUCAUCCAUUUCUGGUGGAAAUGCAAAAUGGUACAGCCAUGUUGGAAGACUGACAGUUUCUUACAAAGCUAAACACAGUCUUGCCAUGUAUGAUCCAGCAAUGACUCUCCUAGGUAUUUACCCAACCAAUUUGAAAAUACGUGUCCACACCAAAAAAACCUGAACAUGCAUGUACAUAUUACAGCACAUGUUCAUUCAUAAUCACCAAAACCUAGAAGUAGCCAAGAUGUCCUUCAAUAGGUAAAUCAAUAAACUGUGCCAUAUCCACACUAUGACUGUUAUUCACUGCUAAAAAAAAAUGAGGUAUCAAUCUAGGAAAAGACGUGAAUAAAUUUCAAAUGCAUAUUGUCCAGGUCUACAUAUUAUAGGAUUCCAUUUAUACACCAUCUGGAAAACCACUGGCAAUGCAGAUCAAUGACUCUAGAGGAUUUGAGGUGGCCCUCAAAAAGAUGAAGCAUAGGGUUUUUUUUUAGGAUGAUGAAACUAUUUUCUAUGAUACUGUAAUGGUGGCUACAUGAUAAUAUGCAUUUAUCAAAACCCAUAGACAGCACGAAAAGUGAACCUUAAUGUAUUUACAUUUUAAAAGAAUCAUUUAGGAAGUUAUAUUUCCCAGGAUGGAAUGCAUAUUGUGACCAAAGAAUUGACCUGUAUUAUUCCCCCAUACCUGGCAUUACAAAAGUAUGAAUAUACUUUACUGAAGAGGUUAGGAGAAAUGUGUAGACAAGUAACUUUGGAAAUGAGUGGAGUCUGUAAGACUAAAGGCAAAAGGAACUACACAUAAGCACUAUUCCCUAGUUGAUACAGUUGUUUCAUAUGGGGGAAGGGGCUCAAGGUUCUGAAACUGCUACACAUUUAUACUCUAAUCGAACUAUUAAGUAAAUGAGAGUCAGAUUUCUUACUAUUGGAGUGGGAGGUUACAGUUAAGCAAAGGGGGAGGCUAAAAUGAUCUAUGUGGUAGUGGAUUAAAGUUGGUGACCUCAGGAUGAGCUUAUGUUUAGCUUUACCUAGAUACAGAUGGUAACAUAUAGAAUAUAUAUGUUAGCAUUAACACUAUAUUUCAUGUUGUCAUGUGAGAAUGUCUGAAAGAAAUGACACUCCAGUAGCAGUGAACACAUAUAGCAUACAGAUCUUGAUUUCUAACAUCAACCUUCAACAAAAGAAACCAGAGUUCCUUGAAGAAAUGACUGAAUCUAGGAUUGAAGGAGAAGAUAUAUGUAAGAUGAUCCUGGAGCCUCUUUUAGUGCCAAAAAGUAAGAAAGAGCCCCCACCAAAACCUACAUGAAUAGGGGCACGUUAAAAGGGCACAGAAGCCAACUGAAAGAGCUUCCACUGGCCAAAGCUGGAGCGAUUUGAACAAGAUAAAGUUGUAUUAUAUUAUCACCCAAAGUAUAAAGUAAUCAUAAAUAAAAUUAAUGCUGGUAUAAAUAAAUGAUCCAAUACAUAGAUAGUGAAGGAAAAGAGGCAUCUCUCAUGUGGAAGAAUUCCAAAUAAUUUACGUAGUUACUUACGUAGUUACUCAAGGAAGAGAGUGUGUAACUCUCUACUUCGUAAGAGUGGACUACAACUAAGGACUUCCUUCCAAAAACUACAGCAGGUAAAGGGGAAAAAGAGCCAGUCUACGAUGGAAAAACCUGACCAACACUACCUCGGCUAAAUCAUCAAGGCGAACAUUAACAGUCAUGAAUCAUAAUUAACAAUAUGUACCCUUCACAAUAUGAGGAAAACAGCACUUUACCUCUGUGGUCUUCCUCCAAAAAACCCACUACCCCAGUCUAAUUAUGAGAAAAAUAUCAGGCAAAUUUUAAUUAAGGGACAUUCUACAAAAUAUCUGAUCAAUACUCCUCAACACUGUCAAGGUCAUCAAGAACAAGGGGUCUGAGACAGUGUCGCAGCUGACAGAAGCCUAAGGAAAUGGGGCCACUCCAUGUAAUGUGGCAUCCUUCAUGUGAUCCUAGAGCAAAAAAGGGGGGCAUUAGGUAAAUCUAAGGAAAUGUGAAUAAAGUAUGGGCUUCAGCUAGUCAUAUCCUGUCAAUAUCGGUUCAUCAAUUAUGACAAAUACUAACAUACAAUUAUGUACAAUAUACAAUACAAUUAUGACCAUACUAAUAUAAAAUAGUAAUCACCCAAACUGGGUAUCUGUUACAUGAGAAUUCUAUAUUAUCUUCACAAACGUUCUGUAAACCUAAAACUAUUGUAAAAUUUCAAAAUGCAUAUAAAUAUAAAAUGAAAAAAUUAUAAAUAUAUGUAAUGAAAAAAAGGUACAGGAAACCAGGGUGUGUCUAACCAGAAUUUAAGCUUAGGGUUUCAUAAACUUACACAUUUAACUAUUAUUUUUCCAAAAUUAACACAUCCUGUUUUGAAUAAAGGAAUUGAAAAGGACACUUGCGUAGUUGCAAAAUCAGAGUCCUAAAUUGCUUGCAAAUAAAUUCUGCAUUGGUAUCCUUAAGUCCACAUAGAACUGAGAGCUGGUGAGCAAAAUGCAGGCAUCUACUGCUUAACAGAAGAAUCCCUUGAAAAUCAGACAUCUUCAUAAAAACCAAGAUCCUAUUUUCUACUGUAUUUAAGGCAAAUCAUAGAAACAAAAAUACCUCCCCCUAAUUUUCUUGAAGAUCACUAAAACACUGCAAAACACCCACAUGUAAAUAACAAACUGUCAAGUUAAAACUGUAACCACCAACACGACUGUUACCCGUUGUUUUGGAUGCCGCAAAGGGUCUUAGAUAAAAGCAAGAACAUUUGAGAAGCACAAUGCCUUUAACACUCAGCACUUUUUAACGACAUCCACAGUGAUUUGCACAUUCUACCAAUUACAUUUGGGACGCAAUUGAGGCUUUUGCUGCA